UACGUAGGGUCCGAGCGUUAAUCGGAAUUACUGGGCGUAAAGCGCACGUAGGCGGCUCUGAAAGUCUGAUGUGAAAUCUCCGGGCCCAACCCGGAAAUGGCAUUAGAAACUACAGGGCUAGAGGCUUGGAGGGGGAACUGGAAUUCUCGGUGUAGCAGUGAAAUGCGUAGAGAUCGAGAGGAACACCAGUGGCGAAGGCGAGUUCCUGGACAAGUCCUGACGCUGAGGCACGAAAGCCAGGGGAGCAAACAGG
rnacentral:rRNA from 1 species